GCCGAUGUAGCUCAGCUGGUAGAGCAAUCCCUUCGUAAGGGAUAGGUCGGAGGUUCGAUUCCUCUCAUCGGCUCCA
rnacentral:tRNA from 2 species